UUUUUUUUUUGGGUAAUCAUUUGUCAAUGGGGUUUGCCCUCAGGAGUCACGUAGGUGUGAAUAGUUGGCUACAUUUUUGUUUGACGUGAUGAUCAACUAAAAACUCGAAUGUUAAGUUCAUGCUAAUAGCACAAUGUUGAAUGAUUAGGGAAAUGAAUGGCUAUGGCGGGUUUUUACAUUAUUCUCUAUUCUAUUAGGGAUUGAAAUGAAAAUUAAAAAGUUAUCCUUUUUGCACUAUUUGCUCUCUUUCUUCUUUUUUCUUUUUGGGUUAUGUUCUUAAAGUUGUAUUUGAUCUGAGCAUUGUUAUAGUCACUUCAUAUCUACUUGGUGAUUGGAAAAGAAAGAUUCUAUAAUUUGGUUAAUGUGGCUGAAUAACAAAGAUAUGGAAAUUAAAUGUGUAAAAGAGCACAUGCAUGGCAUAUUAAUGAAAAAUAAGUUUAGAGACAUCAUAUCUUUUGGCGCUCAUUGAAGAUUUAUACUAUUUCACCUGAUAAGAACUUUUCUGAAUUGAAUUAGUUUGCUUGAGUGAAGAUAUGGAUUGAGUAAAGUAAAGAAAAUUUAGUAAUAUGGAUUUGGACAUGGAUUAUAUUCAGUAAUAUUCAUUCUUAUACUUGGUAGCAAGUCUUAAGAGCUUCAGUUUUAUUACUAAAGGAUACUCAGGUUGUUCUUCAAUUAUCAAGUUAAAAUGUUUAUUGUGCUUUGAAUUUGACUGAUCUGCCAGGUUGAGUUAAUUAGAAAAAUUAUAGAUCCUACUCGACUAUGUGCCCUAUUGUUAAGCAAGAAAAAUGAUCUCUACAUUUGUUGAUACUUGCCUAUUAAUAUAUGUAAGCUUUCGGUUGUGCUUUUCUAGUUUCAAGGUUAUGUCUUGGAUGUAUGGUAAUAGUGUCCAAUGAUGUACAACAAUUCAAGUCAGACUCAUGGCUGAUUAAUGUAAAUCUUCAAUAAAGGGUCAAUUUAAGCAAAAGCCUGGCAAUUAAUUCUUAGUCGUUUAAGUAAAAUUACUUGCUCUCUUCCUCUUCAUAUCAACACAAAUACUUGGUUUAGGAGCUUGAGAUUCACUUUCCAUUUCUGUCAUUGUGUUUGACUGAUUUUCCUUAUUUGUCUUCUAAUUUGGUUAAUGUCUAUCUUGAACAUAUCUUUAACAAAGUGGUUGUAUUCAGGUCAUUGCAUUAGAGCUUUGAUGUCAAUGUUUCUGUAGAUGACAAGUUUCUCUUAUUCAAGUCAUUGCAUUGGAGUUUAGAAAUCAAUGUUUCUGUAGAUGACAAGUUUCUCUAUUCUCUACUUUUCAUUUUUGUUUUAGCUUAAAGUCAGAUAUUGCCUAAAGUUUAUAGCAAAAACAUGUAGUUUGAUGUUUGGAAUCCUGAGGUGAAUCUAUAACUCAAUAGUGAACAAUCCUUUGUGCACAUUUAUGAAUCUGCAAGUCAUUGCUUUAUAUCCAUCCAGAAGACCACAUGUUUUCUCAUUGUUUUGUUGUAAUUGCUCUUUCACUUGUUUUAUAUUUGUAGGAUAUCUAUCCAUGAUAAGAUCAUCUCAAUUAAAGUAAAAUUUGAAAUGCUAAGGAAUUGUAUUCCUAUAUCAGCGUCUUGUUGCAACUCUAUAGUUGAAACCAAAUGGGAUGAAUUGGUCUCCAUAAAAAUAUUAGGAACUAAAUUCAUGUAUUGGAAUUGAAUUGGUUAUCUCAUGAUGAUUGCUUUGCUAUAGAAAAGCCUUCCAUUGUGAAAUCUUCUGAAAAAAGGAAUUUUUAGUAAUGACUUAGAUCGUAGUUUAGUUUCUUUGGCAUGAUUUGGUAUGGUUUUAAAUAGGAAGAAAAUGAUUACUUGUCAUCUCUCUUUAGGUUCUUUGGCAUGGUUUUGUUUUAUCCUUUGAGCUGUUAUGAUUUAUUACAUAUCACAAUAUGCUUGAAUGUUAAAAUUCCAGUGCCAAUGAAUUUUCUCAACUAGGCUGAUGGAAUGGUUUCCCUUGAUGUCUUGAAGAUAACAAGACUAAUAACCACCUUGAAGCAAAAAUGACUUGAGUAUGUUUUGAAGGACCACUUAAAAGAAAUGAUUGUAGCAGAGGAGUUUGGAUAAUUCUGUGAAUAUAUUUUUCUUGUAUUGAUAAACAUAUGUAUGCUAUUUUGCACUUGAAAUGUAAUUCUUAAAUAUUUGUUCUAGAUUAUGUGGUUUUGUGUUAGAUCUUGAUCAUUAGGAAUAAAUAAUUUAUUGAUUGGGCAAGCAUUUAGUCUUUUUUUUUUGUCAUUUUCCUUCAUCUUCUAUUUGAAAUUUAUAAGAAGCAUAUGAAAGUGAUGCUAUAUAGGAAACAUUCUUAUUAGAAUUGUUUGGGAAUGAAUUUCUUUUAAGUUAUGAGCAUAUUAAUUCUUCUUUCUAUAUAUAUAUUAAUUUAUAUUAUUGUGGGUACAUAUUCAAGUAAAAGUUCAAUUUUGUAGAAGAGAAGACACUAUAAUUUAAUUUUGUAUACUCUGGUAGAAAGACUUUCCAUCAUAUAAUUAUUUUGUGCAAAUUUAAUCAAGUUUUAUCUUUCAAGUUUCUUCCAAAAAAUAUAAGUAAUUUUGAAAGGAACCACCAAUUCCAAAUAUAAGUGUUAAAAAAAAUUUGAAUUCCAAAUUUAAACAAUUCUAAUUCCGAACGAGUUCUUGUUUCAUUCAAACAAAAGAUUUGGAAUUCCAAAUGAAUUUCUAUAAUAAUUCUAUACAUUUACCAAACAAAAGAAUUCCAAAAUUUUGGAAUUACUAUUCAUAGAAUUUCAAUUCCAGGGAAUUGUGAUUCCAUUUCAUUUUCAAUUCUAUGGAACCAAACACAGCCUCUAUAAAACCUUGGGGAUGCUUUUGAAAAACCUUAUAAAACCUAAACACACUUCAGUCUCUCCCAAAUAUUGUUGCUAACUUUACAUAUUUUUUAUUUGAGUUUAGUAAAAUAGGACUUAGGCACUUUUGCAUUUUGAAGCUGAUAUUAUUCAAACUUGAAAGACUAAAACUGCAAAUUUCAUAAACCUCCAAACCCUUGUAGAUUGUUACUUCAGUAAAGCCCUAAAUCUUUUUAGAGAGAGUCCUUUAGUUACACCCAUCUCUCUGAAGUUGUUGUACUCAGAAAUGGCUUCCUAUCCUAAUAGUCUUUCCAUCCAUUGAUAGUUGUAUAAAGAAACCUAUAAUAAAACCUAUAUAAAUUAAUAUUUCUUAAAUUAAUAUCCUUUACUAAAUAAUAAUUUUUUGGGUCUCAACUUCGGCUAACAAGCUAAAUUAAUAAUUUCGAUUAAAUAACGAGAUAAUAAUUUUUUUUGAAAACCUUACAUACAUACCAUUCAUAAAUUAAUAAUUCAUUAAAAUUACAUAUAUUAUAUUCAUAUAAUGCUUUAUGCAAUUCAUCAGUUAUUUAUGAAUACCUUAUAAAUGAGAAGCCAUAAUUUAACAAUGAAAUAUGUAAGAAGACUUUGUGUUUAUGUAUUAUAAGAAGACUUCCUUGCCAUAUAUAUAUAUAUAUAUAUAUAUAUAUAGUAUUAUUAAUCUGAUUCAUUUUAUGCAUUUAAUAAAAUAGAAGUGGAAUUAUUUAGUAUUCCUAAAUCCUUUUGACCCCUUAAUAAUAGGAAUAUGAUAUCAAUUACGUACAUUAGUAGGAAUUAAAUUACACUUGCAAAUCAUGUAGAUAUGAAUUGGUUUAUAUUCUAUGGACUUUUAAUCUCCUUUGAUUUAUAGAAUAAUUCAUAUUUUUAUAAAAUAAAAUAAAACUUUAGUUGAUCAAAUGAAAGUUUCUUUGAAUUGUUAAUACGCUUUAUAAAUUAAUAAAUUAUUAUUUUAUCAAUUAAUUAAUAACUCUUCAAAUUAAUAAAAUUUUUAUGGUUCGAAGAUUAUUAAUAUAUAGAGAUUUUCCUGUUUUAUUUAGCUCGAGCAUUAACAAAUGGGUUUACAUAUAUAAUUAAAUUAGAUUCAAACGGUUAACCCAAUUAAACUCAUUAAUUUGGAUCGCUUAUUUUGACCUAAUUAAAUUAAAUGCAGAUUCAAACGCAACCAUUAGUGGGUGAAUCUAAAUUACUACCAAUCUAAUAAUUACAUUCUAAUUUUUGCAGGGACAUAUUUUGCGCUUUUCUUCUUCUUUAAUUUCCAUUCUUUUAUUUUGUUUUAAAAUUUAUCAUACUUCCUCCCUUCCUUUCAUAAAAGUCUACUAAAUUUCUUGAGUGUUAAUUGAUUGUUUGUGUUAAUACCUAAAUUAAUUUUAGAUUCUUGUAGAGUGACAAAAUUUGAAACUUACCAUGAUCACCAAUUUACGUUCCUCUGUGUAAUAUUUUAUCUUUUUUCACUUUAUUUGGGCAAAAUUUACUUAUUAACUUGAUAUGUUGUCAUUUUUUAUUACAAAUUUAGAAUGAUAUAGUGUUUUAUUACUAAACAAAAUGUGGGAAAAAAGUAAAUAAAAUUUAAUAAUGGGCCGUGAAUGAGCAUGAAUAACCCAAACCCAUCUAAAACUAUGUUCAUUUAUGACUCAUCCAUUUUGAAUUAUUAACUAAGUAGUUAUAUCUAGGUUAAUCCAAUUAUAACUUAAGUACUUAUAUAUAGGUUAAUCCAAUUAUAACUUGCUUAAACCCACAUGAAUCAUCUCAAUUUGAUAGCUCUUCCUCAAGUUCUAUCGUCCUCAAUCCUACGAUCUUAUAUUUUCGAUCCCUUUUAUUAUUUAGGAUUCGUUGCCUCAUUUUUCAAAUGUUUUUAUCAAAUAAAAGCUAGAGUGGUUAUCAAGAAAAAGUUUAAAAAUUUGGGUAUAAGUUUGGUGAAAUACUAAAUUUUCAUCGAAAUAUUGCCAAGAUGCCGCCAAAAACAACCAUCUAAUUUUACCUUUAUUGAUUUAGAAUUCAUACAUAAAUUUUCUUUUAUAUGCACUUUUUGAUGUACAUGUGCGAUAUGAAAAAUCAUCUAUAUGCUUGUACAAUAGUAAUAUUAAGUUUAUUCCAAGUGCAAAUAAAAUGUCAUAAUUACUAUUUACAUACUCGUAUUUAAUGUUAAAGUAUAAGUUUCAAUGUUAAAAACUUAAAAAUUUUUUAGAAAACAAACUUACUAAACAAAGUCCACCAUAAAAAAAAAACUAACUAAAGUGCCGUAAACUGACUAAAUACAAAAAAAAAAUGAUAACAAAAUAAGUUUAAAUCCACAAGAAAACUGAUUUAGUUAUUAUGGGGUGAAUCAUUAAAGCACAAGAGUAAUCAAAUAUAUCAUUAUAAGACUAAACAAAUGAUUAUUGCACUCAGAAGGAAAGUGAUGAAGAUAUAAUUGGGUGAAUGACUUAAAAAUUGGACUAAUCACACUAUUCCUGAGAAUUUGACUUGACAAAUAAAAAUUGAAGGAGUAAAAAGGGCUAAAGUGAUAAAAGGAUAAUAGGGUGAAUGAUUUUAAAAUGGAAAUAAUUAAUUAUCCCAUAGUAUUUGGCUUGACAAAUGUAUUUUCUUUAAUUAAGGAGUAAAAAGGGUUUAAAGUCUGAAUAGUAAAAUUUAAAUGAUUUAUGAAACAGUAAAUUAUAAACUAUUUAUGAAACACUCAAUUAAUUUUCCUAACAGGGAGAGCUAAUGGGAAAGUUUUAGAUUUUAAAUUUGAUUGGUGACAAAAUUAGUUAUAACCUCCUAUUGCAAAGUUUUUAAUUGGAUUUUAUAUAUUAACAUAAUUGAAAAAUCUGGAAAAAAAGAAUGAAUUUAUAGUUUGAUCAAGAUCUGGCCCAAUUAAUGGCAUAUUAGGUCUGGCCCAAUUGCUGGCAUAUUAGGCCUGACAUUGGAUCGUUAAUUGGACGUCGUUAUAUAUCGCUAUGUUAAAACCCUAAACGCACUCUCCCAAUUCCCAAACCCCUCAGUUACCCGCACCAGAAAUGGCUUCCGCCGCCGCUCUCCCGGUAGUUACCGUUAUCCCUCUUGAGAAUGAAAUGGAGGCCGACGCCAACUCCCUCCCUCUGCCUGACGUCAUGAAAGCCCCAAUCCGCCCCGACAUCCUCCAAGACGUUCAUCGCGACAUUUCAAAGAACUCCCGCCAACCCUACGCCGUCUCUAGGUCCGCCGGCCACCAGACCUCCGCCGAGUCCUGGGGUACUGGUCGCGCUGUUUCCCGUAUCCCUCGUGUUCCUGGCGGCGGCACUCACCGUGCCGGCCAGGGUGCCUAUGGCAACAUGUGCCGCGGCGGCCGCAUGUUCGCUCCGACUAAGAUCUGGCGUCGUUGGCACCGCAAGGUCCCAGUCAACAAGAAACGGUAUGCCGUGGUUUCUGCCAUCGCUGCCUCUGCUGUGCCUUCCCUUGUCAUGGCCCGCGGUCACCGCAUCGAGUCUGUCCCGCAAAUCCCCUGUGUAAUCUCCGAUUCUGCUGAGGCCGUGGAGAAAACCUCCAAUGCUAUCAGUCUUCUCAAGAAAAUUGGGGCUUACCCUGAUGCUGAGAAGGCUAAGGACAGCCAGGGCAUCCGCCCAGGAAAGGGCAAGAUGCGUAACCGCCGCUACAUCUCCAGGAAAGGUCCUCUGGUUGUGUACGGUACUGAGGGGGCGAAGCUUGUGAAGGCCUUCCGCAACAUUCCUGGAAUCGAGGUGGCCCACGUGGACCGUUUGAAUUUGUUGAAACUUGCUCCGGGAGGUCACGUUGGGAGGUUUAUUGUUUGGACGAAAUCAGCAUUUGAGAAAUUGGAUGGGAUUUACGGGUCAUUUGAUAAGCCUUCCUUGAAGAAGAAGGGGUAUGUUUUGCCCAGGGCCAAGAUGGUGAAUGGUGAUUUGGCCAGAAUUAUCAACUCUGACGAGGUGCAAUCUGUGGUGAGGCCAAUCAAGAAGGUGGUGAAGAGGGCACCAAUGAAGAAGAACCCUCUUAAGAAUUUGAAUUGUUUGCUCAAGCUCAAUCCUUAUGCCAAGACUGCUAGGAGGAUGGCUCUCUUGGCUGAGAAACAGCGUGUUGAGGCUAAGAGGGAGAAGCUGGCCAAGAAGAGGAGUCCAAUGACGAAGGUAUAUGGUUUAUAUUAUUAUUUUUCCCUCUCCUUUCUAUGCUUGAUUCUGUUGGAAUAUUGAUGCAACUGUAGAUGAUGUAUCUAUCUGCCCGUGUUGGUAUGCUUUAGGCUACAGAACGCGUGUUCCAUUUUCUACUGAAAACCUUGAUGUCUAUAUGAUUCAGAUUGAGUCUUUAAUAAACAAGCUCAACCCUUUUGGUAAAUAAAAAAUUCAGAUUUUCUUGCAUCAAGCAUUAGUGGCUUUAUAAACUGUUGUGUUCUCUAAUAAUAUACAAGAAUUGAGGAAUUUAGAUGACUUCCUGCCAUGCAACUGAUGUUAAUUUAGAUAAUUGAUAAUAGCUUUGAAUAUGGACUAGUUGUGAUGGAAGGAAUACAGCUAAUAAUUAUCGGAACCCACUGUGAUUUAGUUUGAUGAUUUAAAAUGUUAGCAUGAUGCAAAGUUAACUUAAUUAACAUCACAACUUGUGCUUCUGUUUGUUUCUAUUGGUUGUCUGGUUCAUCCUUUUAGCUGGCUUUCAAGUCCUUUUUUUUCAAUGUAGUGGUGCGUUGGAUGUUUUUCUUUCUUUGUUGUAGUUUUGGUUAUUGCUACUGACUUUUGUUUUUAUACAUAUGAACUCGGGCGCAGAGUUGUGUAUUACAUGAUAUGGUGUGUGUGCUGAUAUUUUCUUAUCUUGUCCUGGAUGUUCUUAAUAGAUGCUUGUCCUAAAUUAGCAUGCUUGGUUACAUUUUAAACGAUAAUCUUAAGGUUGCAUUACAUGUCUGGCACUGUAGCUUUGUUUGACUGGCUUUUUCUAGAUGUCUUAACUGGCUUUAUGGGUUCUGAGUAAUGAUUGAUCAUUUCUAACAACUUUACAGGUUCUAGGAUUUGUGUUUUUUUAAUUGAUGAUGAAAUACCUGAUCUAAUAGAGUUUUGGAUUCAUCUGACUGGUUUGCAGUAACCGAUGGGUAUUACUUUUUUGUUUUAGUGUCAUCAUUGGUUGAUAGUUUCUUGCUAUCCUGUUCUCUUUGCUUUUGCUUGAUAAUAGUUGAAGGGGCCUAAGACUUGUUUUGGGCAUGAGUGGCCCCAACUUUCUUGACUUGGUCAAUUUGGUAUUAUUUAGUUCUAAUGUUGCCUCAAUGAGCCCUCGAUCAUUAUACUAUUUUUUUGCUUCUGACAGGAGGAGACGUCUGCUGUAAAAGCUGCUGGAAAGUCAUGGUACAAAACAAUGAUCUCAGAUAGUGAUUACACCGAGUUUGAGAACUUCUCAAAGUGGUUGGGCGUUUCACAGUAAUUGGUUUCACUUUGAAGUUUAGUAAAUCUCGUGUGUUUAUUCAGUUUUGUUUUAUUUCAAGUAGGCUAUUUGGUAAUUUAAGACGUGCAAGAGCUUAGACUGCAGUGACUUAAUUCCUCAGUGUACUAAGAAAUAUUUUUGCCUAAAGGUGAUCAUCUUGACUAGGAGUCAAUAGCUUCUUGUUCUGGAAUACUCAGCCAUCAACUCUGUUUUCUGGUCCUUGAUUAUGAAUGUUACAUUGGUUUUAAACAUUCAGAGCAGGUGCAGCUUGCAUUGGAAUUUGUUGUACUCGUCUUUUUGUCCUGCCUGUCACUGUUUGUUAGAUGCCAGCCUUACUUCCAUAAUUCUGCUUCUGAUUGUAUACCAUUGUACUACUUUUUUGUGCUAUAAUUUGAUAACCAGGCCUCUGAUUUGUCUAAACUGAUUUUUGGGUUUCGAUGAGUUCUGAAAUCCUUUUGGUCUGUUUUUCCCCUCUGAAUUGCAUGUUUCCUUUACCGCAUGACCUGUUUGUAUUGGUAAAGUGAAACCAAAGUAUGUCGAAAGUCUUCGAACGUUUGGUGAAAUAUAUAAAUAUGGAAUUGUAGUCUCAGUGAUUGUUUUGGUUUGACAUUCUGUUUGUAUGUGGAAAAUACCAAAUACAUAUUCUAUCCCAUCCAUGGUUGAAUGGUGACCUAGAUGGGGCUUGUAGUUCCUGGACUUAUUCGUUGACGAGCUGCUACUGAGUUCAACUUGUUUUGAGUUGAGUUGGUUCGCUUGUCUUUCCUCCUAAAUGUUCUUUGUAUCUGCUUUUACAAGAAACAAAUUUGCAAAAUGAAUUGUCAGUGAAGUUAACCUGGCUUUUCAUGAUGGUAAAAAAAAUCAAUUAGGCUACUUGUUAUGACGGAUUCUUUGAAGAUGAAUACCUUGUUAAUUCACGCUUUUAUAGUACCCGAAGCUCAGUGUCAUAUUUCUGCAACUUCCAGAAAGUUUCAAAUACUUAGAAUCUUAAUAAUGCAUCGGGGAUGGAUAUAAGAAUCGACAAACUUUAUAUAGCUGCAACUUCCAGAAAGUUUCAAAUACUUGAAUCCUGAUAAUAAUCAGGGUAGGGAAUAAAGACUAUAAAGAAGAAUCGACAUAAAAGCAGGACAAACUAAGAAUUCAAAAAUGUGUCCGUUUAAGAUUUGUCUAUUUAAGAUUGGUCAUUAACUAUGCUUAGCUACAAUAACAAAUUGUACUUUUUGAACUUGCAAUAACGAAAUGGGAUGAUAUCAGAAAUCUCCCUUGAGGUUUAUCCUAAUAUCACUUGGCACCUCACAGGUUUUGAAAAUGUCACUUUCCUCCUCUAGUAAUUGUAAAAAAAUUAUAUUAACCUUCACUUAAUACGUAAUUUACCAAUCAAAUAAAUAGAGCUCAAAAAAUUCCAAAAAAAAAAGAAACCAAAGUCACUUUCUUCUAAUUCAUCUUUUUCCAACAUUUUCUCUUAUUUAUUUUUUUGGAUGAUUAUAUGAUUUUUUAUUUAUAAUUUAUAGUAAAUUGAAUUUUAUUUAUUUUUUACUUUUUGUGAUUGUGAUAGAAUGAGAUAUGAUUUCUUUGUUUAUUUUGAGUUGAUUUUUUUAAUGAUCAGUACAAUUUAAAGGCUUGGGGAUCGAUUGAGAAGAAGUUAGAAAAAAAAAUAUAAGGUUCAUAAGAAAUUAGUUUUGAGCACAGAGUUAAAUUUUGCUAAUGUAUUUCUUUACAAAUAUCUUUUUUGUUUUUCAUAAUUAUAUUUUUGUGGACUAUAGCAUUGUGAUGCGGUAGUACUACUAGAUAUUAUAUUUUAGGUAAUGGUUUUCUUGAAAUAAGCAAAGUGGCUUAAGAGUAUUUUUAUUAAGCAAGCAAAGUGUAGUUUAGUGUUUUCAAAAACUUUUUAACAUAAAUAACAAAAGUAAGAGAGGUAAGUGAUAUUUUUAAAACCUUAGAAAUGCUAGAUGAUAUUGAGAGAAACCUCAGGAGAGGUUUCUGAUGUUAUCCCUAACGAAAUAAGUGCAACUAGUUACUUAUUCUAAUUAUAUGAGGUUUUAAUAAUAUUUUUCUUCCAUAAAUAUCUCUAAAUCAACAUUUACAACCUAUACAAAGAUUCAAAAUAUCACGAUUGGAGUCCAAACGUUUGAUCUUCUUUUAUAGAGUGCAAACAUUUAUGUGGGGAAAACGUUACUAAAGUCUGAAAUUACUAUAAACAAAUGAUUAGUUGCGUUUUCGGAUAGUAUAUGGUUAAAUUUUCACUAGUAGUGUCCAUUUUAUCUUAUUUUUCACUAAAGUAUAAGGGGUGGAAGUGGAUACUUUUAAAUUAUAAGGGGUGCAUUUUUUAAACUGCUUAAUCAUAGGGGGUGUAUGUGCCCAUUAUAAUAUUGACUUUGAAAUUCGUGUAUCUUAAGAAGUGCCAGACUACAAAGGUUUAAAUUUAUGAGUUUGAACUUUGAACCAAUCUAAGCGCCAUUUUUUCUUAUUUCGUAUUUUUCUUAUUCUAUAUUUCUUAAUAAUAUUUCACCGUUGAGAAAAUUGAUAUGAAUAUAUUUCAUAUUUAAGUGACUAUUUACUUCAUUCUGUGUUUCUUUGGUUACAAGAAUAUAGAUUCAAGAAAAAAUUCAUUUUCCUUAAUCAGUUCACCAAUUUCAUUCUUUCCUUGACAUAUAAAAGCGCAUGUUUUUUAAUUUAAAGUCUAGACUCAAAACCUUUUUUCUCUCCCGACCCGUUAAAUCAUAGGAAUAAUAUCAGAAACCUCCUCUAAGGUUUUUCUUAACAUCACCUAGCACUCCUAAGGUUUUAAAAAAUUACUUACCUCCCUUAGUAAUUACAAAAAGACUAUCCAUUUGGAUUAGCUGUUUUUGGGGUAUUUUUGAAAAAUUUUAUUGUAGUAGUGUAUAUGAAAAACUUUUACUAUAAAUAUUUUUUGAAAUAUUUGAUAUAUUGUAUGGAUGAAAUAUUUUUUGAGUUAUUUUGAUUUGUGUAUUACUGUAGUAUUACAUUUGAAAAACUUGUUUUUGAAAAAAUUUACCUCACUUGAUACAUAAUUCACAUAUCAAAUACAUGGAAGUCAAAAAAAUUAUAAAAAUAAAAAGAAACAAAAGUCAAUUUCUUUUCUUUCCCCCAUUCCCAACAUUCUCUCUUACUCUUUUCUUGGACGACUAUGCAAUUUUUUAUUUUUAAAUUAUAGAUAAUUGAAUUUUAUUUAUCUUUUACUUUAUGAGAUUGUAAUAGAGUGGGAUGUGAUUACUUUGUUUAUUUUGAGUUGAUUUUAUAAUGAUUGGUGCAACUUAAAAACUUGGGCUAGGGUUUGAGAAGAAAUUGGGAAAAAAUAUAAGGUUCAUAAGAAGUCAUUUUAAGUAUAUAGAGUUAAAUGAGUCCCAGUAUAUUUCUUUACAAAUAUCUUUUUUGUUUUCCAAAUUUAUAUUUUUAUGAACUAUAGUUUUUUGACCUGGUGAUACUACUAGAGAUUGGCUUUUAGAUGGUGAUUUUUUUUUGAGUGAAUAAAGUGUCUUAGAAGUAUUUUAUUUAGCAAAAUGAACAAAAGGGUAGUUUAGAAAUUUUUAAAAUUUUGUUACACAAAUAACAAAAGUAAGGGAGGUAAGUGAUAUUUUGAAAACCUUAAGAGUGUUAGGUGAUAUUAAGAGAAAUCUCAGGGGAGGUUUUUGAUAUUAUCCCUAAAUCAUACCCUUCCCUUGUUAAAAACUUUUCCUUAAAACAAAGGUGCAUGUUUUGUCUCUUUUCAUUUCUUCAUAAAACCACAUGUAAUGUUAAAUUUUCCGCUUUGAAGCUUUUGUAACUUUGUGAAUAUUCUGAUUCUUGCAUAUAGUUUUAUUGAGAUGUGAACUUUAUCUCAUCUAACUAUAACAUGUCAUCCAAUAUGUUGCAUCCAAAAUAUUUUCGGAACUUCUAACUUUUACCUUUCUUGUUUCUUUAGGUGCUAACCUACUCUUUGUUUUCGCUAUAAAACAAAAAAAAAAGGUGCAACUUUUUGAUAAUAUCUUUAACAUGGUUAAUCAUGCUUACCUAGUCUAAAAUUUGUGACAAUUCAUUACCAAUUUCAAGUGAGUUUUUGAUAGACAAAAAAGAAUUCUCUCAGAUAAGCAUAUAUUUCUGAAACCUGAUAAAUUUUGCAAGUUCUUGUCGAGCAAGUUUCUAGCGAAUGAUUUAUGUAAGAACAUCAAUAACUUUUGCUUUUAGUUUUCCCCAAAAAAAGAAGAUAUUUUCUCAUGCUUAAAUCAUAAAACAUAAGAAUUUAUAAGAUGCAAGUACAACAAAUUGUGUAAAUUUGGCCCUAGACAUAGAAUCAAGUGUGGCAAUCAUAUCAAGUUCAUAGAUGUACGUUACAUGAUGUUAAGUUCGUGGAGUGUAUGUUCAUAGAAUGUAUUUAUGUAUGCAAAUAUGGCCCUAAACACGAUACAUGUUACAUAUUUUGUCAUCACCACAAAUUAUAGCUUUAGCCUUCGUUGCAAUAAUAUCUGUGUGCAAUAUACUCUAAGAGUAGUUGUUGAUAGGAGUUAAAAAAAAUACAUUCCAUAACAAAGACAAGAUGCUUUAGAGUUGUGUGUUUCUCGAAGCUCCAUUGCAGCCUCCCGGUAAAUUUAUAACUAUUGAAAACUCCUUUUCCUGUAAAUUAAACUAAAAGAAAAUUAGUAAUAAAAUGAAGACAAGUAAUGUACUUAAGACUCUUCCUUAAAGUACGAUAUAUGUUAGCAUAGCGGGCUUUUAACAAAAGAAUCUGGUAAUAUUACACACGUUGUGAUUUUAAGAGUUGUAAAUCUACAAAAAUUACAAUAUUAUUUUUAAACACGUAAAAUUCUAGAUUUCUAUCCGGACUCUAGAAAUUGGGUGUGAAAGUAAUGCCUUAAUUAUAAGACAAGGGAAGAAAACAAUUUUAAGUUUGAGAGAAUUAGAUAGCAUAUUUUUACAAUCUAAAAUUUAAAUGAAAAAUAUGUAACCUUUUUUUAAAAAAAAUUUUUUUGACAAGAAUGUCUCAGUCAUAUUACUCCUUAUAUACUGGAAUAUUUGGAAUACAAAUCUACAACCUGAUGUUUAAGGAAACAACUGCAGAAAUGUGUUUUUGAAGAAUAUAAAAUCCACUUCUAGAUUGAAGGUUCUUUGAAUUUUUCCCUCUUAUAUUAUUUACUGUAACACGUUGAAUUGGACACUUUUCCCAACUUUCAAGUCAUUACUUAAAAAAAUGGAUAUUGUGUAUAUAAAAUAAAAGGUUUAAACACUGAACCAUGAACAAACAGUAUUUGAAUGCCUUAUUCAAAAACUCAUUUCAGCUCAACUAUAUAAGCCGUAAUAUGACACAUUAAAGUCAAUUCAAAUCCAACUCAAUCCCAAAUAUUCAUAUAGUUGCACAAAUGUUGACCAUAUCAUACACUAUGUUGUAAUUAAGAUCACAUGUUAGUUUUUCCCACAAUCAUAAAGUGCUUUCCUGUCCAAUUAGUCGAAAUCACAUGUAACUUCACUAUUGCACAGGAAUCAAUUUCCACAAAAAUUGUACACAUUAUUGUACAAAUCAUGUCCUAAACAUGAGACAUAAAAGUCCUCUAUAUAUCUUACUAUAAGAUAAGUAAAGGCCCAAAUUUACGGUAACAACUUUCCUUAAUGACACGUGGCACUAUAGGUAAAUUUUGAGCUUUUAUUUUUUUUCUUUCUCUUUGGAUUUGCUGAAUGUCUAAAGUUACUGUAGCAACUUUCAUUGCUCAAUGACCUAAAUUGGACUGGAUUUCGCAUUCCUUUAUAAGGUUGAAUUAUUUCAAUCUUUACACUUUGGACAGAUAUAAUUCAAUUAGAAUUUACAUUUAUUACUAUUUACAUUAUCAUUUGAAAUUAUAUUUGACAAAUUAACUUAUGUCUUGGUCAAAUGUAAUCGAACUACAAUAUUAUUAUAAUUAUCAUUAUUAUUUGAAUUUAUAUUUAUUUCAAUGUGAAUUGUCAUUUAAAAUUAUAUUUGACAAAAUAAGUUUCACUUGUUAAAAAUUAUAUAAUUACAUUGAUCUUUUCAAAAUGUUAUAUUUUUUUUAUUUUUUGCUAUUUUGUUAAUGUAAUGCAAAAGAUUAUUUAAAACUGAUUCCACCUUAUUAUAAAGAAAAAGAUUAUUAUCGCUACUUAAUGCAACGUGCAUUUUCUAUUUCAAUUUUAUUUUAAUUUGUUCAUAUUGAAAUAUUUAGUAACUUUUGACUUAUGUUUAUUCAUAUUUCUAUUUCUAUUAGCAUUUAAGGUUAUACAAAUGAACUGACAUUGCCACUUAAGAUAUUAUAUAUUUUUGUUAUCAAUUUUAUUUUAAUUCAUUUAUAUGUUAAUAUUUGCUUUUUGUUACUAUAAAUUUUUUCCUUUAUCAAUCAAAGGAAUGCAUUAACGUCUAAAUGACAAAUAUAUAUAUAUUUAUUAUAUUUCAUUAAAAUGCUCUUCUAUUUUUUUUGUUUUAAUGGUAGCCGUUAGAUUUGCAUUUAUUUUUGUCAUUAUUUUUUUGCCAUCAGAUUAUUAGAUUAUUCAAUAAACCUAUUUAUUAUAAGUUCUAUCUAAUUUGGAGAGAAAAAAGUUUUUCUUAGCCAUUGUAUUAUUAGAUUAUUCAACAAGGAAGCUUACAGAUUGUUUGGUUCUCCUAUUUUUCCUCUCCUUUGCUUGUAAUAAGUCAAAUAAUGCAAGCAUUCUUCACUUACUCCACUUUUUGACAAUUAUCUAAUCAGAUUAGACAAUUACUUUUUUCCUUAGAGUUAGGUUGUCCUUCACAAGCAUGUCAACCUUUUAUGAAUUGUCAGUUGUACUUCAUCUUUUCAUAACCAUUAGAUUGAAAUACAAAGUACUUAAUUAGUUUAGCUUUCAUAGACUACUUUUUUAGAUGAAAUUAUUAUCAACAAACAAACCUUGAAUAGUAUAGUACACACUGCUACAUACACUACCAAUUGUUAUUCUGUUUUCUUUGCUUCUCGUUCCCACAUAGUAGAAAGAAAGCUUCCUUCACUUUCUUGCUUUCUCAUCAUUUGGUAAUACAAUUUUUCUAAGCUUUUUCUUCACCAUCUCUAUGCAUUUACAUCUUAUUGUAGUAAGAUAUGGAUGCUUUUACAUGUUUUGUGUUUUGAUUUUGCAGCAUUGCCUUCAGCAUUCAAGAUUUUACUUUGUCAAGCACUUUACUUUAGGUUAGUCACAUUACUCAUACCUAGCCUACAUAAUGUUUGAUAAAAUGCUAGUUAAGUUUACUUGAUAUUUACAAGUUUCGUAAGUAAACUACUGGUAGCUACUUGCUAUUGAAUCGUAUAUACUGUGUGACUUAUCAUUGUAAACUCUGGCAAUGAACUUUGAAAUUAUUUAGAUUUGUUUUUCUAUUUUUGUGAUCAUUUUUAAAUUGUUCAUGUUGAAGAUGCUUGCUAAUUUCUUUUAUGGAUAGCUAAGCGAAUUGAAUGUCUGUUUCAUUAUCAGCUAAAUUUUGAUAGUCAAAACAAAGAAAAAAAUCAAUUAGACAAGUUAAUAAAAUUCUUCACUCAGCUGAUAAAGGAUGGAAUAACAGAUUUUUAUGUCAAUCAAUACCAGCAAAAUUUCAAAAGUUCAGUGUAUAGAUCAUGCACUGUUGUUCUUGUUUCAUUGCCUUCAUAGAUGAAUUAAAAUAAAAUUGAUAGGAAAAGUUUAUAUUAUAUUUGGUGGUAAUUUCAGUUGGUUUAUACAAGUUUAAAUGACACUAAAUAUUUUAAAAUAUUUUAAAAUGCCGCUAAAUAUUAAUUUAUUAAUGAAUUAAAAUAAAAUUCACAAGAAAAUCAUAUAAUAUAUUAAGUGGUAAAGUAAGUUCAUUUUAAAUGCUAAUAAUCCAAUUUCUCUCCAUUUUAGUAAUAUACAUACUUCACGUAUACAUUUACACAUGACACUCAAUUCAGAAACAUUCCUUCAAAUUUUGCUACCCUUAAACACUUCAAGGUGGGACUUGGUUGUGCGUAGCAUAGCUAAGCCUUACUAGUCUACCUUGUAUCCUUGUAUAUAAGAAGAAAGCCAAAUUACUAUAGUAGCCUAUCUUUUUGAUAUAUGUAUUGCCUAUAUUUUUGACAAGUGAAAUCUUGCUCAUUUUAGCUAAUUUUUCCUUCCCUUUUUUGAUUCAAUUUGGCCAAAAGGAUUAAAAUAUUUUUUCUCCUUCAGAAAGUCAACUCCAUCUCUUUUUCUUCUUCUUCUUGCGGCAACUGCUGUCAUCCCUCGCCUUUUAAAAAAAAAAAACUAAUUUAACUAAGAUUGUUGCCAUGUUCAUUUUCUUUGGGAUAAUUUUAGAAACCUCCCUUGAGAUUUCUGAAAAUUUCACUCAGCUCCCCCCAAAUUUUGAAAAUUACACUGACCUCCCUUAGUUCAAUAAAAUGACUACAAUACUCUCUACUUAAUGUAUAAUUUACCACAUAUGUGGGACACACAAACCAAACCAAAAGUAAAAGAAAAAAUAAAAACCUGCAACAACUCAUCAUCAUCCCAACCCUACUUUAAUUAAUAGUCGCUUCUUUUCUCUUUACCUCUUCCGAUUCUCUCCUUCCUGCCUAUAACCCCAUAGUCUCUUCCACCCAUCAACUACACCAUCAUGCUAACCUACCCGAAGUGUUUAUUUCUUGUCUAUUUCUCUCUUUCCGUGGUACUUAACUAUGAGCCACUCUUUUUUAUUUUUUCUUAUAUUAUAAUUUGUAUACAUUGAAGAAUCAAAACUUCCAAAUUUACAAAUCGAGAGAGCAAAGGAAAAUUUCAUGGUCAAAUUAGAUGGAGAUGAUGAAGAUGGUUGUGAUAGAGGGGAAAAAAAUGAAAUUAAUGCGCUAUGGUUGGAAGAGAAAAAGGAACGAAUCUGAGUUAUGCUAUUAUGUCUAUUAUACACUAGAAUCUAAUAUCUUCAUUUGGUUUCGUUUUUGUUUGAUUUACAACUAUUGGGAGUGGUUUGUCACAAAAAUUAGUUUCUCUGUUCCUAAUGCCAUUAGAGUAUGGGGUUGCUCUUGGCAUAGGUAUCAAUAAUGGUUGGUUAGGUAUUUUUCUGUUCAAGGAAGGUGACAGGCGAUAGGUUUUGGGUUCAUAAUUUGAGAUGUGAAAUUAGUCAAUAGACAAAUAAAGUGUUAAUUUAGGGUGUGAAGCUUUUGAGGGUAUUGUAGUUGGUGGUGGUGAUUAUGGUCAAUUUGUAGAGGAAGUGAUUUGGGUAGGUUUGGAAUUUUGAUGAUGUCGAAAUUGAUAGAAUUUUGGGAUUAAGUUGGAGUGCGAUUUUGGUAAAAUUUGGGAUUGUAGUGAUGCCAAAAUUGAUAGAAUUUGGGGAUUAAGUUAGAGUUUGCUUGAACAGGUUGAUGAGCUUUUGGGUUUACAAUUAUCGUGGACGUAUAGUAAGUUUGGAUGAAAGUGUUUGUUACUUUUUUUUUUUGGUUAAAUUGAUCACUAAACCUUUUUUUCAUUUUCAUUUGAUGUAUGAUAUUGCAUAAGGGUAUUUUAGGAUACUUAAGUAUAAUUCUAGCCUAAUGGGUCUAUAUACUAUUACUUAAACAGUAAAAGCAAGGGAGGUUAGUGUAAUUUUCUAAAAUUGGGAGGAGCUGAGUGAAAUUAUCAGAAGCCUCAAAGGAGGUUUCUGAAAUUAUCCAUUUUUCUUUUUCACUGAGAGGAUUAGCUACUUAGUAAAGAGAAGUCUUUAUUAUUUUUUUGAUCCCGUUUUACAUUUUCUUUUCUUCCUUUUUUUCAUCUCUAAUCUCUCAUGUUUGCUCUAAUAUUCUUUGAUCAUAAUGGUAUAGUCAACUGGCAUUUUUUUUGUUAAAUUUAUAGGAUGACAUUGUUAUUUGGUAUUUUUUCAUGGAUAAAAGGUGAAAUAUUAAAAUAUGUAAAAAAAAGUAUUAGAAUUCAUUUUAUACCGGUGAUCAUCUUCUAUGAAGAAUAAAACAAAAAUUCAUUCUUUUCUUUUCUCCUCCUAGGAUUAGAUUUCUUACUUCACAUUCUUUUUCCUUUUCUUUGUUUUUUGGUUCCAUUUUGUAAUUAUCUACAAUUUUUAUGUAUUUUUUUUAGGAGAAAAGAUAUAUCAUGUGAUGUUUCCACCAAGAUAAUUCUAACUAGACAUUUUUCUACCUUUGUUUUUCUCUGUUUCUUUCUUUUUUCCCCUUUUUGGAAUUACUUUAAAGUAAAUUUUAUAUACACUAUCACGAUUGAAUAGAUGAUACAUGAGUAAAUUUUGAAUUUCAAAUUCAAAUUUUGCACAUAUGUCAUAUAUCUAAUGGUGAUAGUAUAUUCACUGACAGUGUAUAUAAGAUUAAUCCAUUACUUUAUGAUUUAUUCAAUUCAAUUGAAGGAUCCAAUAAGAUUUUGUAAUCUUUAAACUCAUGUUAAUUUCUGUUUGUUUUUUAAUUACUCAAGUGCUGUAGUAUCAAUUGGGUUGGCAUACAACAAUUGCAGUUGGUGGUAGAAGUCAGAAUUGAGGCUUUCAACCUGGACCGUGACUUGACAAAAAAUUGUUAGAAAAUUCAAUUUUGAUUAGGAAGAUAUUUUUGCAAUAGUUCGGUUCUAAUUUGUAUAUGUAGUUCUGAAAAUAUAGCAAUUCAUAUGUUUAUCUAAUCUUGCUAUUUAGAUUCUAGAGUUGCGGGAUAAUGCUGUCAUCUUUAGGCUGGAUUUAAAUAGAUGAAGUACCUCUAGUAUAGCUACUAUACACGAAAAUGUCAUCUAUUUGCGGCUCCUAUCCAUUUCCUCUUUCACAUGCUAAUGGUGGAUAGGAUCUUUUACAAGAGGCUGGUGAUAUUACUAGAGCUCUAGUUUCCUACGAGAGCAACUUUUUUUCAAAUUUCAAUUUUAUCAUUGUGAAAGUACUAAAACUUUUCACUAUAUAUCGUGGAACUUUGUUUGUGGACCCACAAAUAAAACGUUAUCAACCACCAAAAGGGCUCUAACUAAUUUGGUGAUGGGUUCAAAAAUUUAUGCCCUUUAACCUAAUCUAUAAUCAACAAUUUCUAGGCUGAAAUAAAAUUUCCAUGGCAAUAUUCCAACUAUAACCGACUCCAGUUCAACAAGUCAUUUCUGCCGUAAUGAUCUAUUCAAUUUAGUAUAUAUGGUCCAAAUCAAAGGGAAAAAAAAUUUCUGAUCAACCAUACAAUUUCACAAAACAAAAGCCACCAUUGUAGCAGGGACUUGAACCAAUAUGGCGUUACAGAUGAGAGAUACUUGUGAGAUUUGCUGAGCAGAGGAGGACAGAAAAAAAAAUUAUUGUAGUAACGAACUGGGAUUAGGAUGAAGGAACAUGGGGGCUAGAAAGAAAUGGAAGAAAUGGAGAUUCUGGAGAUGAGGAUGUGCCAUGAGUGAUGAGAAGAGAGAACUUGCUAUGCUGCUACGAGACAUUUAGUAUAAAAGGUUGAGUAGAAGGCCACGGUGGAGAGUGGUGGCUUCAGGAUAGUAAUACGGUUGUUGAUUAAUAGUUGUUGGUAAAGACAUUAAACUUUUAAUUGUAGCUCACGAAAGUAGGGAAGUACUUAAAGGAUGAUUGUAUAAUCUCAAGAUCCUAAUGAGUCUUUAUUAGGUUCAAAUCACGAAAUAAGACUAAUUUUUGUUUUUGAUAUAGAUAAUACAUUGAUUAAAGCGGGUACAUGACUUUAAGAGGUUAUGGUUUUGCACAGGAGUAAAUUGAUUAACCAAAAUAAAUUUUAGACUAGGAUAAUUAAGAACAUCUAAACCCUAAUAAUAAUUUCUUUUGACAAUUUUUGCAUUAUUUGAUUUUAAUCAUUAUUGCUAGUAUUAUUUUUUUCAUAAAUUUUGUGAUAAUUUGUAAUUUGAUUAAUAAAGAAGUUUGAUAAAUAUUGAUACUUGAUUAAUCUUCACUGUAAGAUUUGACACCUGAAUACUCCUUGUAUUAGCAUAUAGCCUGUGCACUUACAGGCUAUAGCAAGGAGAAGAAAGAUUAAUGAAUUUUACAUCACCCUUCAAGUAUUUACAAAAAUGUAAAAGUACCCCCUUAUGUAUGCAUCUUCACUAGUCUUGCCCCACUCUCUCCAAAAUCCCAACCCGUGGUUCCACCAGUGUAUUUCUCUAUUGUCCCAAAUAGAUUUUAAGAGCUAAUUGAAAUCUAUUUUAGGUUUUAAUACCAACCCCCCCACCCCCCUCGGGCCUCACUCCAAAAAAAAAAAAAAGGAAAAGAAAGAAAAGAAAUGGCCCAAGAAAGGAAAAGGAAAAAAAUUGAUGGCCGUGGGCUCAUUAAUGCUUGAUUAUAAGGGGUAUAAAAUUGUAGUUUCGAGACCUUCCAUACAAUUGAAACAUGUCACUUGUCGAUGGUCCUUCUAUGUAGUUUCUUCUAAUGUACUAAUGAUGCUUAUUGCCAAGGAUCUUUCCUCAUUCUAAAGUACAAAGUACAAGAUGAUUUUCUUCUGAUACUGAAAGUAACAUUUUAACAGAUCAUGAAUGGAGGAUCUAAAUCAAAUAUCACGACACAUGUAUAAACACAAACAUAUACACAAGUAAAUAAAUAAAUAAUAUACAUGUAUAUAUACAUAUUUUGUGUUUGUAUGUGUGUAUGUAUGUAUGUAUAUGUAUGUAUAUAUUUAUGUAUAUAUAUACACAUAUUUUGUGUGUUUGUAUUGUGUGUGCGAUCUAUCUUGACAUAUAUGAUUUAUCUCGAUUUAUUGGUGAAUCUAAUGUGUGCUAUUUUAUGUCUUUGCUUUCAUCUUUACAAUUAAAAGGGUCCUUAGUGGUAAAGCAUUUAAGGUGUUAAUUGAUAGACAAUUGUUAUUGACUAAUAGUUGUUGGUAGAGACAUAAACUUUUAAUUGUAUCUCAUGAGGGAAGUACUUAAUGGAUGAUUUGUAUAAUUUCAAGAUCCUAGUGAGUCUUUAAUUAGGUUCAAAUCACGAAAGUAGACUAAUUUUUGUUUUCGAUAUAGAUAAUACAUUGGCUAAAGAGGGUAUAUGACAUUAAGAGGUUCAUCAUGGUUUUGCAAAAGAGUAAAUUGAUUAACCAAAAUAAGUUUUUGACUAGGAUAAUUACGAAUAUCUAAAACCUAAUAAUAGUUUCUUUUGACAAUUUUUUGCAUUAUUUGAUUUUAAUCGUUAUUGCUAGUAUUAUUUGUUUUCUUAAAUUUUGUGACAGUUCGUAAUUUGAUUAAUAAAGGAGUUCGAUAAAUAUUGGUACUUGAUUAAUCUUCUCUGUAAGAUUUGACACCUGGUACACCUUGUAUUAGCAUACAGCCUGUGCACUUACAGGCUACAGCACGGAAAAGCAAGAUUAAUGAAUUUUACAUCACCCUUCAAGUAUUUUUACAAAAAUAUAAAUGUACCCCCUCAUGUAUGCAUCUUCACUAGUCUUGCCCCACUUUCUCCCAAAUCCCAACCUGUGGUUCCACCAAUAUAUUUCUCUAACGUCCCAAAUAGAUUUUAAGAGCUAAUUGUAAUCUAUUUUAGGAUUUAAUUUUCUUUUUUCGGAAGAAGAUUGCCACAGAACUCCCCCCCCCCCCCCCCCAAAAAACCCAAAAAAAAAAAAGAAAGAAAAGAAAGAAAAGGAAUGGCCCAAGAAAGGAAAAGGAAAAAAAAUUGAUGGCCAUGCGCUCAUUAAUGCUUGAUUAUAAGGGGUAUAAAAUUGAAGUUUCGUGACCUUCCAUACAAUUGAAAAAUGUCACUCGUCGAUGGUCCUUCUAUGUAGUUUUCUUCUAAAGUACUAAUGAUGCAUAUUGCCCAGGAUCUUUCCUCAUUAUUAUUGGUACAAGAUGAUUUUCUUCUGAUACUGAAAGUAACAUUUUAACAGAUCAUGAAUGGAGAAUCUAAAUCAAAUAUCACGACACAUGUAUAAACACAAACAUAUACAUAAGUAAAUGAAUAAAUAAUUAUAUUUAUGUAUAUGUAUACAUACAUAUUUUGUGUUUGUAUGUAUAUAUGUAUGUAUGUAUAUGUAUGUAUAUAUAAUGUGUGUGUGUGUGUGAGUGUAUAUAUAUAUAUUGUGUGUGUGAUCUAUCUUGACAUAUAUGAUUUAUCUCGAUUGAUUGGUGAAUCUAAUGUGGGCUAUUUUAUGUCUUUGUUUUUAUCUUUACAAUUAAAAGGGUCCUUAAUGGUAAAGCAUUUAAGUUGUUAAUUGAUAGACAAUUGUUAUUGAUUAAUAGUUGUUGUUAGAGACACAAACUUUUAAUUGUAUCUCGCGAAAGUAGGGAAGUACUUAAAGGAUGAUUUGUAUAAUCUCAAGAUCCUAAUGAGUCUUUAAUUAGCUUCAAAUCACGAAAGUAGACUAAAUUUUGUUUUUGAUAUAGAUAAUACAUUGGCUAAAGAGGGUAUAUGACAUUAAGAGGUUCGUCUUGGUUUGCACAAGAGUUAAUUGAUUAACCAAAAUAAGUUUUUGACCAGGAUAAUUACAAAAAUCUAAACCCUAAUAAUAGUUUCUUUUGACAAUUUUUGCAUUAUUUGAUUCUAUUGCUAGUAUCAUUUGUUUUAUUAAAUUUUGUGAUAGUUCGUAAUUUGAUUAAUAAAGGAGUUCGAUAAACAUUGGUGCAUAAUUAAUCUUCUCUGUAAUACAGCCUGGGCACUCACAGGCUACAACACGGAAAAGCAAGAUUAAUGAAUUUUAUAUCACCCUUCAAGUGUUUUUUUCAAAAAUAUAAAAGUCCUUAAGUAUGCAUCUUCACUAGUCUCGCCCCACUCUCUCCCAAAUCGCAACCUAUGGUUCCACCAAUGUAUUUCUCCAUUGCCCCAAAUAGAUUUUAAGAGCUAAUUGAAAUCGAUUUUAGGUUUUAAUUUUCCUUUUUGGAAGCCAUAGACACCCCUCCCCCCCAAAAAACACCAAAAAAAAAAAACGAAAAGGCAGAAAAGAAAUGGCCCAAGAAAAGAAAAGGAGAAAAAUUGAUGGCCGUGGGCUCAUUAAUACUUGAUCAUAAGGGGGUAUAAACGAAACCUUCCACACAAUUGAAAAAUGUCACAUGUAGAUGGUCCUUCUCUGUAUUUUUCUUAUAGAUUACUAAUGAUACAUUGGAUGCUGCACCAUGACUAAGGAUCUUUCUUUAUUAUUAUUGGUUGGAGUUGGUUUUCUUCUGACGCUGAAAGUAACAUUUUAUCAGAUCAUGAAUGGAGAUCUGCCAACAGCCAUUUGGGAUUGGUAGGAAUUGAAGGUUAAUGGUUGAAAUCUUACUUCUUAUUGAAAAAAAUUUAUCACUAUAUGUGACUUAUCACUUUUAGUAGUUUCCUCUGAUGUUAUUUUUCAUCGAUUAGGCUCUCCCUUCCCUUAUAAUAGGAUAGCGUAGAUUAUAAAAAUAUUAUCGUUAUCAUAAAAAUAAAAUGAAAGAUCUGAAUCAAAUGUCAUGACAGCUUCAAUUACUGCAUCCAGCUACUCAUUGCACUAAUUGGUACUUUCCAUUUAACACGUCUUGAAUGGUGGAAAUGAAGUGACAUCAUAACUAAUUCGUUAGGCUAUUGAUGUUAAUGUUAUGGGAUUUUGUCUUGCUCAAUAAUGGUCCAAAAUGGUGUCCGUGGUCCAAAAUUUAAAAAAUGAUAUAGAAUUCAAAAGUACGAUUCAUCAAUUUGUCAAAUAUUAAUUAGCUAACUAUGAUAAUGGAAUAUAAAAUCUUUUUUUUUUUUGUAAACUAUACUAGUAGUUUGCAAUAAAUCAUAAAAUUAUUCAAUAUAUGUUACGCUGUUUAGUGCAACCGUUCUUGUCAACUGUAAUUUCUUAACACUUCCACAAUGAAUAAAAGAAGCCUCCUAAUAUGAUGGCUGAAUUAAUUUUUCAACUAGGGGGUUUGUUUUGCUAUUAAAUACAGACGUACCGAAUGCUCAUAACUAUCAUGGACAAGGGUUCUCCGCAAUUGCCAGUGCUAUUGCAGAGAAUUGUUCACGGUUCAAAUCAAGUCGAGCUAAUGUGGUCCAGAUCUAAGCUUUCAAUUUUGAAAAUAAAGAAAAUUAAUUUGUGUUUGGAUUGCAUUUUCCGUCAUUUUUCAUGGAAAAAUUACUGUAGCGAUUUGAUAUAUGUAAGGGAAAAAAGUGAUAGAGAAAUGUGAUCACGGAAAAUGACAAUAUUUUCCGACGGAAACAAGCAAUCCAAGCAAGGCCAGGAUUGGAAAUGAGGGCCAGAUCAAGUUGAACUAGUGUGGCUAGAUCUGCACUACGAAUUGCGCUGUGCAACGAGCAAGUAAUUUUACACUUAGUAAUUGCUAUGAAUUUGAUACAUAGUUGCAUAUAAGUAACUUGAUAACAAUUAUUUGUAAAGAAUACAAGCUAUAGAAAUAGAUAUCACUUUAAUGAUGAGUACAAGUAAAAAAAACUCAAUGCUUGAAGGAGUUUUAUCCAUUGAUGCAUCAGUUCAUAAAAAAGUUCAUAUUUUGAUCAAUUUCCGGGCAUCUGUGCAUUUCUUGCAGUCUCUCAUCUUCGUAUUUAUUUGCCGACGAAGCCUUUUGUUUUGGCCUAGCACUCAGGGUUAAGACACCAAGAAUUAGAGAUUCUAGUUUCAAAUCUGAUAAUAAGUGAGUUUCUUCUCCCACUAUAUGUGGAUUAGUUUUACAAAAUAGAUUUUAGAACUAUAGCAAUUAUUGGUAUGUAAAUAUAGUUAUUUAACUAUUUAAUUCCUUUUUUUUUUAUUUAAUCUUUGUUUAACUGGAAAUUCUUAAGUGUUGAAAGGGGUUUUUUUUGGGCACUGCAGAGUAGUAUUGAUUGUACCGAAAAUUAAAAAGAUUGGUAUCGAAAGCCAGGGGAUGAGUACCCAAAAUGUAAAAUUAGUCUUUCAUAAGGGCAUAAUUGAUAUCUCAUAAUAGUGGGUGCUCAUGUGGCAAAUGGUGAGAAAAUUUCUGUAUUUUCAAAAUCGGCACUGUUGUAGAGCCCUUGUUUAACCCCAAAAAAAAAAAUUCUGUUAGUGCCCCAUUUGAAAAUUCUCCCUGCUCCGGUACUGAAAUGAGCUAAAUAGUGCUUUAUAUGUGAUAUUGGACAAAAAAAAAAAAAAAAAAAACCAUGGUGUCUAAAUCUCAUUUUUGUUGGCUUAUAUUUCACUCAAGAUUCUUUGAAGCUAGCAUGUAGAAAGUGGAAAUUAUGGAUUCAGUGUAAAAUUCUCUCAACUAAUGCUCUUUCAGUUCCAUUGUAGUUUGUUUUUGCUAACAACUAGAUUUUCCAAUACUUAAUCUUUGGCACAUACAAAAGUACUAUAGAUAGAAGUUCACUUUAGUUGUAUUCUUUCUUGAGGCUUCAUUAGGAUAGAAACAAACUUAGGGCUUGUUUGGGGUUGUGGUGUUUUUAGUAAAUAUGCAAUUUUAAGUGUUAAAAGUACUUGUGAGGCAUUUGGUAGACAUCAUUCCAUAAAAUUAGAAAUGGAAGUUUUUGUGCUAAAAGCACUUUUAACAAAAACUAAAAUUUGAUACUUUUAAAAUAGCUUUUAUGUUUUAAAAAAUAACACAUUAAAUUUAAUUAUUUUAUCCUUUAUUACGAACUAAAUAAAGAGAUAAAUACAUUUAAGAAUAUUCAAAUUACACAUUAUUCAAUAUAAUAAGUAUUUAUUGAACUAUAUAACUAAAUGCUAUAUUUAAAAGCAAUUAAGUACUUAAUAAGUGUUUUUAUUAAAAACUGCAUUAGGUCAAAUAGUUUUGAAUAAGUUACCACAACCUCAAUUGAGCCUUAGAUUGUACCACCCCUCAAUGUAUAACGAAGACGAGGAAAGCUGGUAAGUUGUGAAUAGAGGUGUCAAAAUGGGUGACUUUGGCGGUUUUGGGUUGGGUAAAAUGGGUAAUGAGUAUAAGUGAGUCAAUUCAUUUAUACCCAUUUAAUUAGAUGGGUGUAAAUGGAUAAGUCAAAAAAUGAAUUGGGCAACCCAAUUACCCAUUUAUAACCCAUUUAUUUUAAAUUUUUGUAAACUCAAUUAAAUUCAUUUUUUCAAACUAAGUUAUCAAUUUAUAUUGCUUUUUGCACUCAUCAUUAGUUUUAAAUAUUUACUUAUAAUGUUCAAUAAGCCUAAUUACCAAUUUUUCCCCAUCUAUACUCUAUGUCGCAAAAUUACAUAUUAUUUAAUAAUUGAAUAAUAAGAAUAUAAAAAUUUGAACUAAGUACUAUAAAAGUUAAUAUAAAAAUUUAAUCCAAAAAUUUUGAACCCCUAACAUUUUUUUCAUAUAUAAAUUUAAAAUUUCAUUUUAGAAAGAUAAGAAAAGAGGAUAAACCUUAUCAUAAAUUGGUAAUGCUGAAAAAUGAGCAAGUUAACAAACUAAGAGAAAAUAAAAUGAUAAGAUAAAACCAACAAAUAAUAAUAAUAAUAAAACAAAAGUAGUUAACAUCAUGACAUUGAAAAUUUUUUUUUAAAAAAUAGGUGGGGGAAGAGAGGAGACUUGGGGAAAGAAAAUUCUAAAUGAGUUAAUUGGGUUUGAUGGGUUACCCAAUAAUACUCAUUUAAUGGGUUACUCAUUUAUACCCAUAUACAAAAUUUAAGAUACCCAUACCCAUCUAUUCAUGGACGGGUAUGGGUAAAUUUAGUUAAAUGAGUUGGUUUACCGCAUAUAGUUGUGAAAGUAUUCUUUUUGACAACCAAAAAAAGAAAAAAAAGAAGAAGUGAACUUACUAUUCCUGGAUAGUUCUUUCUUGGGCCCCAUUGCAAUAAGGAAUUAAACUCACAUUAAAAAAAUGGGGAAAACAUAAGAUCGUGCUUAUAAAAUGCACUGUCUUAUUGUUGCCAAGCUAAAGGAUAAUUGAUAUACUUUUGUGUAUUAAAACUUAUUUAAUUUACUUAUAGCCCUAGUGCUCUACCAUGUUUUUCCAUAAAAUAAGUAUAGAUAGUUCGAAGUCCAAUUUUGGAUACGAUCUAACAUGCAGAGAAUUUUUGCAUUUGCAGAGUUCAGAUACAUUGAAUAUGCCAACCAAAUCAUAAAAACUACAAAAAUGAAGAUGUUGUGAGAAAAUAAAAACAAAGACUUUUGGAUAUAUAAGAAUGUAAAAGGGAGAAGAGAUGGAUUGGGUGGUACAAGAAGAAGGAGUGUGAGCGAGCAGUUUCAUAUUUGAAACCUUCCACUAAAAAAGAAAGGAACGUAGAAGAAAAUUGAAAAGAAAUCGUAUAUUAUAUACACUUUCUUUACUUCAAAUUAUAUUUGUCUAUUGCUUAGUGUAAUAGAAGGAGUAAUACCCUUGAGGUUAAAACGUAGCAACAAUAUUUAAGAGAACUUGUACUUGUUUCUUAAGGUUUAGAACAAAAACUAAGUUCACUUUCUACAAAAUAAACUAAAUAUGAGAUAAUAGUUUUCUGCAACAGAACAAGACCCAUUUGGUCUUUAUAUAGAGUUUAGGAACUUGUUAUUGAAGAGUUGCAACAUAUCUUGGUGGUUGCAACUUGAAUUCUUGAGUCUCUUCAUUAAAAUCCAUUGGUUUUCUCGUUUUUAGUGAUAUUUCAUAUUGUUCAAACUCUAGAAUUCUGCAAAAAUCGCAACUUUUCAAUGAUGCAGACGUUCACUACCUCAUUCCCAUGAACAAAACAUUGGCCAUGUGGACUCGCCAAGCAGAGGUCUUCAUGAAGCUUGCAUGCAUCCGAUUAAAAAAUCAUUGAAAAUACUAAAGGCCCGUAAUUUUCAAUAAUUUUGAAAAUUUUAAGCUCAUAGCUUAUUUCAAAAAUUAUAUACAUAAAUAAUGAUGUCUUUCGAUUAUAUUAACUUUGCUAAAGCUCUUUGUGAUAAGUCCAUAAGCAAUGGUAGACAAACUUCGACCUACUCAAAUAUAUGACAGGCUACAUGAAUACAUCACAUACAGAUUUUAUGCACCAUUGCAUGUUUCAUAAACGAUACAUUUUAACGCCUUGUAUCGUUAUCCUCUUCAUGAAUGUCUCUCAAAGGUAAACGCUUAAGUUUGUGAAUUGCCUAAGUUCUACAUUCGUAUAGGUGAAUUCUUUAUUGCUCCGGCCAUUUCAUGCAUUUAAUAAAAUACUCAAGAGUUCUAAAUGACAAGGGUUUAUUUUACGUAUUUUUAAGUGCAUUUUAUUAGUCAAUUUUGGCUAGAUUAUUUAGUUUUAUAACUAAAAUAACUAAGGUUUUGGUAGAAAACUACAUUUUAUGUUAAAAUGGCUAAACAUUGCAUUUUAUGGAUUUUUAUGGUAAAAACUUCAUAUUUUGUAGGUUUAAUGAUUCAAUCAUCAAAUGAAAUGCAUUGGGAAGAUAUUUGGAUGAUUGAAGAUGAAUUUAAGUGGUGAAAAUAAAAUAUGAAGUGUAAAAGGAAAAAUGCAAGAAAAGUCAGGUUUGACAACUCUGACACGUUUUGGUAUUUUGACUAUAUCUGGAGCUACACAGAUCGGAUCAAGGUGAUCUUGGUACCAUUUUGAAGCUAAGAGAUAGAUCUAAAUUCGGUAUAAAGACAUCAAAGUCCAAUUCAGCCGUUUUCAUAGUGCAAAAGUUGAAAUACCGAAAUUCAACUCAGCUGUCCAAAGUGGAAAACAGAGCUCCGAACAGUCUAUAGUAUUUCGGUCAUAUCUCAAGGUAAAAAGCUCCAAUUUGGAUGAUUCUUGAAGCAUUGGAACGCUAACUCAAAGGGCUACAACUUUGGUGUUUUGCACAAAAUCCAGUUCGGCCUGCAUCAUGGAGAAAAUUGCAGUUGAAGUAAGGACAAAGUGAAAACGCGAGUGCACAAAACGCGAGUUGUAGCCGCGUUUUGUAUAGGCGCGUUUUCUGGCCGAAAUUCUACAAUUUGUUCAGUCAAUUCUCUUGUGCUCAGACUACUUUCCAGCUAUAAGUUGGAAAGUGAAUUCGGUGCACAUGCUUCAGAAGACAAAAGGGCAAUAAAGGUGGCUUAUUUUCAAGUCAAAAACAAUGGUUUUUGACUAUCUUAACAAAAAGGAGAUUUGAAGAAUCAUAGCAGCAAAAUUUGACUGGAGAAGAGCUCUUCAUCAGUUUAUAUGCAGAGACAUUUGGGUGGUUUGACAUUCAUUCAUUCAGGAACAUACGGGAGAGAACUUGAAGUGCAGAAAUGUAGUUCUUUCAUUUCCUUAGUGUAGGAUAGUGUAGUAAGUGUAGUUAAUCCAUCUUGUAUAAUAGCUAGAUUAGGAUGAAGAUGGAAAUGAAGAUGGAGGAGUUGAAGCUCAAGUGACAUGGGUUAUCUCUACUCCAAUUCUUUAUCUUUUGUAUUGGAUUCUUAAAUAUGGUUAUUAUGCAAGUUCUGGAAUUUAUAUUUAAUAUGUGUCUUUAAAGUUUAUACCUUGGGUUUGGUUGAACUUCCUAUGAUUGUGAGUGUUUAUUAUUUGGCUAUUUGAUUGCUAGUAUUUGAGCAAGUUAUUUAGCACUUUGGCUCUUGAAAUCAUGAUUAAUCUGGUACCAUUAAUUAUGAUUAUUUAAGGUGUUAUUUCUGCAAUGAAAAUUGAGAUUUAACACUAGUUCAAGAAGUGCUAAACAUAGGGAGUACACUCACGAAAGUAGAGGUGCACUUAUGUGGUUUUUAGUGAUUCAUUUCAUGUAAUUUCAUUGAAGAAAUGAACUUGUAGCUAAUUUCAUAACCAUGAAAAUAGGUAUGGAUUAGUUAUGAGUAUAGUUGAUUCACUACGAAAGUAGGUUUCACAUGUUUAAGGAAAUUACACUAUAACUAGCCUAGAUGUAGUACUAAAUGAUCCAAAAAUAGCACUUGCAUGAGUAGUUAGGGAUACCACAACCUAAGGAGCUUUUAUUUGUUAAAUUUCAGUAGGGUAAAUUUCUUAUAAUUCAUUGAUAGUCUAAAUAAUAGAGAAGCUUUAGUAAUACCGGUAAUUGUUCACUCUUCCUUGUGGGAUCGACCCGAUAUAUACCCUAAACUACUAGUUGACCUGUAUACUUGCAGUGAACGGGUGUAAUUCGGUAUUUUUUAGUUUGCACGUAUGUAAAAUACCCGUCAAGUUUUUGGCGCCGUUGCCGGGGAAGAUUUGGCAAUAUCGGUGUGAAAAGCAACUUUAUUAAUUUAGACAAUUUCACUUGUUUUUGUUGGUUAAGUGUCUUGUUUGUUUUGAGUCUUGUUGAGUCUUUUAUGUUUAAUGUCUUGUUUUUGUAUGUUUAAAGUCAUCUAUUCUUCUUGACUAAACUUGUUUUUGAGCUACUUUGAGAGCAUGUUUAGGGGAUCAAGGAGAGUAGAAACCAGGGGAGGACAAUGCUUGAGAAAUGGAGGUUUGACAAUGGAUGGUUACCAAGUGCAAAGCUCCUUCAAUAGAGGUAACCAAGAAUUUACUGAAUGUAUGUCUUUUGAAAAUGGUUUAAGGUGCUUAAAGGCUAAAUUUGAUGUUAUGAUGUUACAAGUUCAAAUGGACACAAUUAUGCAUGAAAUUGAACAAAGGAGGAAUGCUAAUGUUUUUAAUUCUUAUCAUGUGAUUUGUGACUUGUGUGGAAGUUAUCAUGCUACUAAUACAUGUAUGCAAGCACAAAAUGUGGAUUAUUAUGAUGAAUUAGAGCAUUACAAUCCUUGUUUUGAUCAAUAUAGUGCUAAUUGGAGCAAUUCUCCUGCUUAUGGUUGGGAUGAUCAAUGUACUUAUAGUGAUUAUUCAUGUUUUUAUGAUUACCAACCUGAAAGUGUCCAAUAUGAAUCAAAACCAUCUUGGGAGUUGGCAAUAGAGAAGUUAGCUAAUGCACCUCUGCCUUGGGAGUUAGAAAGUGAACCAUUAGCUAAUGAUUCUAAUGCAUCUUGGGAGCUAGCUGUAGAAAAUUUUUCUAAUCAAUUUGAUUUAGCAUUAGAAAAGCUAGCAAAUGUAACUUCCGACCGUUUUGAUAGGAUUGAGGAAAGAAUAGAUGAAUUAGCUUCUCACUUUGGUCGAAUACAUGAGCAAUUGAGUGCAUUGUGUGAAGUUAUUUCCUCUAAUAAUGUGCAAAAUGAUCCUAGCAUGAAUGGUGGGAAUGUUGUAUGUGAAAAUGGGUUGCAUUUUGAUGAAAAUGAUGAAUCUCAAGAGUGUUUUAAUGAGCAAAUAUCCAUUUCACAUGAUAAUAUCUUUGGAACUACCUUUGAACCUCAAGAGGUGAGUUUUAAUGGCUCAAUUUUCACCCCUCUUGAGGAGUGUAUAAAAAGUACAGGUUUUAAAGAUAUUCCUGCCCAAGAUACUCUAAUGGCAUUCCCUUUGGUAAGUUCUCAAGUGGUGCAUAUUCAAGGUAAUAUCUAUGAACCACUUGGGAUAGGUAAGUCACUUCCAUUUCUCACAUCAUUAGAUCAUGUGGCUUUUGCUAUAAAGUCACCAUUUAAUGAUCCACCACGACCUAAAAUGGUGGAUUACUCUUUAACCAAACCUCCUUGAAAAAUGAGGUUCAAUAGUCGAGCCAACGACUAUAAAUAAAAGCGCUUAUUGGGAGGCAACCCAAUGUUUUGGCUAUUUAUGUUAUUUUUGUGUGAUUUUAUGUUUACAGUAUGAGUUUGAGUUUUUUUUAUGUUUUUCAUUUGUAGGUAUUGGAAAUGAAAGCAAAAGUGACCAAAUGAGGUGAAAAAGGCGAAAUUUGAUCAAGGAACUCAACCCCUCAAUUUGGAUAAUUGUUGUUUUUGAUUUGUUAGAAGGGGUUAAAAUGCAUAUUUUGAUCAUUUUACAUGUGCAUGCAUUGAGUAUUUUAGCAAACAAAUAAUUUAUGAUGCAUUUUGAGUGAUUGGGGUAUUAGUUGUAAAUUUUUAAAAAUUGAAUUUCUGCUAAAAAUCGCAGCAGAAAAACGCGUUUCUCAAGAAAACGCGCCUCUGAGUCGCGUGUUCACAGAAUCGCGUUUUCAAUUCUGCACCUGCAGAACAGAAAACACGCCAUUAAAACGCGACUUAAAGUCGCGUUUUGAUGGCAGUCGCGUUUUCAAGCCUGGAUCAAACUAAAAAACGCGACUUAGAAAACGCGCAUCCAAGUCGCGUUUUCUCAAAGAACCGCGUUUUCAAUCCUGCAAGAUUGGUGAAGGAAACGCGACUUCAAAAACGCAGCUUAGUGGCGCGUUUUUUUCAGCAACGUUUUCUGAGCAUUUUUUUUAAACAAAAAAAUGCAAUUUCCUUGAUUCUCUUUUUCUUCUUUUCCUCAUAUAUUUUCUUGUACCUUGAGUUGCUUAUUGUGUAUUUUUUUAUAGGUACAUCACCAAAACAAGGGCUUGAAGUUACGGAUCGCCGUUUUGAUGUUUUGAGCCUUUGUUAUCACUUUUGUUUCUCAUUUUCCAUUUUUAGGUUUAUAUCACUAAUGGUUACCAAAUGGAACUCAUGAAGCGAUGAAGACAGGCGAACAACGUACCUUGAAGCUUCAUAUUCAAUCGCAACAAUAGGGGAGUAUUACUUUCUUUAUCUUGAUUUUCCUUUUUACACAUUGAGGACAAUGUGUAUGUUAAGUGUGGGGGGAGAAUUGAGAUUAUAUACAUUGUAUGUGAUUGACUUAUUAGUUGCAAAUAUUGGACUUGUGUUAAAAUUCAAAUUUUUCUACAAUCUUGUCCAAAAUUGCAAACUUGCCCAAAAAAGUUUCAAUUUUUUCGAUUUUAUCCAAAGGGGUAACAAGUUUCAUACCAUUAGUAGUUCAAAUUUCUUCUAUAUUUGAGAUAAAUAUAUGUGAUUUGGAAACUUCUUUUCUCAUUUAACUUGGAAAUGACUAUUAUGUGAUUAUAAUUUUUGCAUUUGUAGGAAAGUAUAUCUUUUAAAGUGGAGAAAAUUAUGCCUAUAUUUUUUUUGCAUAUUUGAUGAAAUUUUUUCGCUUUAUUUGAUUUUAUAAGUUAAGGAUAAAUAUGGUCAAUAAUUUCAAUACUCUUCUCAUGAUUAUGCUUUCAAGGGAAUGUUAUUAUCUUUACUAAAAAAAUAUAAUAAAAUAAAAAAAUGAUGAAAAAUGAAAAAAUGAAGAAAAAGAGAAAAAAAAAACAAAAGAGAAAAGAAAAUAAAUAAAAAAUUGUUCUACUCCAAUGAUUCUCGUACCGAGUAACCGGGGGUUGGCAUCUACAAAUGUCGACAUUCGCGUAAAAAGGUACUUGAAUUAAGAGUAUGCAAAGCAAUUUGAGUAUGUGAAGUGUUGAGUAACCGGUGAUCUUCAUCUAAAAAUGUCGAUCCUCGCGUAAAAAGAUACUUUCACAACUUAAGUAAUAUUUAGCUAUAUUAUAUAAAUAAAUCCCUCUUUAAGUUAAAUAAGAAGAUGAUCAUGGGUUUAGGAAGCAUAUUAUUGACCAUAUGAGUUACUUACUUGUAAGAUUGGGUAAAGAUGAAAAAUUGAUUUGAAUUUGUUAUAAUGACGGUUUAAUUGGCUCUCCUUUACUUGAUAUUAUGAGUACUUGAGGUUAUUGAAUAAUUGCAUAAUAGUUAUUUACUUUGUUUUAAGGAAAUGAAGUUGAAAUGCUACAUAUGUUUAUUUUCAAAUUUUGAAUCAUUGUUGGUUUUGUAUUUCUUAUUGCUUGAGGACAAGCAAUGAUUCAAGUGUGGGGGUAUUUGACAAGGGUUUAUUUUACGUAUUUUUAAGUGCAUUUUAUUAGUCAAUUUUGGCUAGAUUAUUUAGUUUUAUAACUAAAAUAACUAAGGUUUUGGUAGAAAACUACAUUUUAUGUUAAAAUGGCUAAACAUUGCAUUUUAUGGAUUUUUAUGGUAAAAACUUCAUAUUUUGUAGGUUUAAUGAUUCAAUCAUCAAAUGAAAUGCAUUGGGAAGAUAUUUGGAUGAUUGAAGAUGAAUUUAAGUGGUGAAAAUAAAAUAUGAAGUGUAAAAGGAAAAAUGCAAGAAAAGUCAGGUUUGACAACUCUGACACGUUUUGGUAUUUUGACUAUAUCUGGAGCUACACAGAUCGGAUCAAGGUGAUCUUGGUACCAUUUUGAAGCUAAGAGAUAGAUCUAAAUUCGGUAUAAAGACAUCAAAGUCCAAUUCAGCCGUUUUCAUAGUGCAAAAGUUGAAAUACCGAAAUUCAACUCAGCUGUCCAAAGUGGAAAACAGAGCUCCGAACAGUCUAUAGUAUUUCGGUCAUAUCUCAAGGUAAAAAGCUCCAAUUUGGAUGAUUCUUGAAGCAUUGGAACGCUAACUCAAAGGGCUACAACUUUGGUGUUUUGCACAAAAUCCAGUUCGGCCUGCAUCAUGGAGAAAAUUGCAGUUGAAGUAAGGACAAAGUGAAAACGCGAGUGCACAAAACGCGAGUUGUAGCCGCGUUUUGUAUAGGCGCGUUUUCUGGCCGAAAUUCUACAAUUUGUUCAGUCAAUUCUCUUGUGCUCAGACUACUUUCCAGCUAUAAGUUGGAAAGUGAAUUCGGUGCACAUGCUUCAGAAGACAAAAGGGCAAUAAAGGUGGCUUAUUUUCAAGUCAAAAACAAUGGUUUUUGACUAUCUUAACAAAAAGGAGAUUUGAAGAAUCAUAGCAGCAAAAUUUGACUGGAGAAGAGCUCUUCAUCAGUUUAUAUGCAGAGACAUUUGGGUGGUUUGACAUUCAUUCAUUCAGGAACAUACGGGAGAGAACUUGAAGUGCAGAAAUGUAGUUCUUUCAUUUCCUUAGUGUAGGAUAGUGUAGUAAGUGUAGUUAAUCCAUCUUGUAUAAUAGCUAGAUUAGGAUGAAGAUGGAAAUGAAGAUGGAGGAGUUGAAGCUCAAGUGACAUGGGUUAUCUCUACUCCAAUUCUUUAUCUUUUGUAUUGGAUUCUUAAAUAUGGUUAUUAUGCAAGUUCUGGAAUAUAUAUUUAAUAUGUGUCUUUAAAGUUUAUACCUUGGGUUUGGUUGAACUUCCUAUGAUUGUGAGUGUUUAUUAUUUGGCUAUUUGAUUGCUAGUAUUUGAGCAAGUUAUUUAGCACUUUGGCACUUAAAAUCAUGAUUAAUCUGGUACCAUUAAUUAUGAUUAUUUAAGGUGUUAUUUCUGCAAUGAAAAUUGAGAUUUAACACUAGUUCAAGAAGUGCUAAACAUAGGGAGUACACUCACGAAAGUAUAGGUGCACUUAUGUGGUUUUUAGUGAUUCAUUUCAUGUAAUUUCAUUGAAGAAAUGAACUUGUAGCUAAUUUCAUAACCAUGAAAAUAGGUAUGGAUUAGUUAUGAGUAUAGUUGAUUCACUACGAAAGUAGGUUUCACAUGUUUAAGGAAAUUACACUAUAACUAGCCUAGAUGUAGUAUUCAAUGAUCCAAAUAUAGCACUUGCAUGAGUAGUUAGGAAUACCACAACUUAAGGAGCUUUCAUUUGCUAUUUUCUUGUAUAAUUUCAAUAGGUUUUAAUUUGUAUAAUUCAUUGAUAGUCUAAAUAAUAGAGAAGCUUUAGUAAUACCGGUAAUUGUUCACUCUUCCCUGUGGGAUCGACCCGAUAUAUACCCUAAACUACUAGUUGACCUGUAUACUUGCAGUGAACGGGUGUAAUUCGAUUUUUUAACUUGUACGUAUGUAAAAUACCCGUCACUAAACUCAGCUAUCCCUUAUUCUAGUGGAUCAACCUUGCACUAUCUUUCCAAGGGAUGAUCUUUGACAUAGUGUUACAAUCACUAGAAUGUAUUUUGACCAAUUGAAUUCAGGAUUACAUGUUGUACCUAGUAUUGAAUUGACGUUCCAUUAUGAGUGAUUAAUAUUUUUGGACUUUAAUCAUACUCCUCUUAAUGCCUUAUACACCAAGGUUUUUGAUUAUCUUUUUGUCAAAGGAGCACUGAAAAUUUGACUAGAUUUUAUGAAGAUUACAAUGAUGACUCCAAUUGUAAUUAAGUCCACUGAUGUAAAAUUUUAUUCAAACUCAAACUUCUCUUUCUAUAAGUGUAUAGUCAUAGAUAAGUACAAGGAGAAAUUAAGUGUUAAUCUCACAAGAAAAAUUAAUCAACUUAUCAACAUUUAAAGUGUGAGUAAAUACAACUACACUACAAAAGACAAAGAAAAUGACAAACUAAAGUUCCUAGGGUUUUGGUUAUCGUCCUUACCUCUGCUAGUGAAAUGACCCAACUGAUUGAGUUUUAUCUCUUAGGUUAAGCAAUGAUGCAAUUUUCUAAUAUAUAGGAUAUCAGCUUUCGUCAACAUAUCUGUCAUACUUAUAACUAAUUCACACCUAUUUUCAUGGUAUAAAUCCAGCUACAAGUUCAUUAGGAUUUAUGAAAUUAUUUAGUAAAAACCACAAAGGCGUAUCUCAAUUCAACUUCACCUAUUACUACAAGAGGAGCGGUGGCUGAAUGUUCCACGUGAAUUAGAGUUCCAACUUCAACUGAUUUCAUAGAUUUGAAGAAUUUCUUGUUUUUGCAUACAUUUUUUUUUUGUAACCCUAGAAUCAACCCACCGAGAUCAUUGCAAUUUUUUUUUUCGCUUGCACUAUUGAAAGUUUCUUGCUUGUCAUUCUUAUGAUUGUUAAGAGGUCUAAAUUCGGACUUCUAAUGUCCAAGUUUGUUUCAACAGAAGUAGAAGCACUUGCAUUUUUUCUUCCUUUUCUUGUUCUUUCGAUGAUUCUUAGACCGAUUAUCUUUUUGCUUUCUGACUUCAUUGAAUGUCCCUCUUCAAUCACGUGUACUUUGGUAGACAAAUCUUUGUUAUCUUUUUGUGUUUGAGAAUCCUUCUUCUCUUACAUGCUAAAUUCCUUCUUAACUCUAAAGGACUUGGCAAGACUUUCAAGAGAGAUUUCUUAUUUAUUAUGCUUCAAAAUUCUCUUGAAAUCUUUCCAUGUUGGACACAGUUUGUCUAUUAUGGAGCUUACAAAAAUGGUUUCAUCCAUAUCCAUAUUAUGUUGAGUGAAAUAGUUCAAAAGUUAUCUCAAAUUUUUGAAAAUUGUUUCAUAAUAGGACUUGUAUCUACUAUUUUAUAAUUAUUGAAAAAAGAAAUAAGGAACUUCUUACUUAUAGCAUCUUCUAGCAUGUAUUUCAAUUCGAAUCUCUCAUAAAGUUCCUUUGUAGUUAUUUUUUUUUGGUCAAAAAAGUUCCUUUAUAGAUGGUAUGGUGUGGUAGACAUCUAAGUCUAUCAUUUAUUGCAUUAAGGAUAUGGCUUCUAAAAAUUUCAUCAUUAUUGUCCUAUUUUUGCUUCUUUGUGAUUUCUUCAAGAGUUUUUUCAUCUCCUUGUAUGUUGGAUAUUGAUGUUUUCAAGACACAUGCAACAUUCAACGUGAUAAGGAGGAAGUGUACCCUCAUUUGCAAACAUAUGAAGUUUCCUUCAUCAAAACUUUCCCAUUUUCGCAUUGUUGGUUAUCAACUCCUUCAGAGAACUUGCCCUAUUCAAGUUCUUCAAAUAUAGCCUUAAAAUGCACAACGGAUCUUCUAUUCCACACUUUGUGCCACUCUCUGUCCCACUUUUUAUUAUAUUGUUAUUUCUCCUUCAUAAACAUCAUGUUUUAGUUCUUUUUUGUUUCCUUAAGAUUCAAUAACUAUUAAUUCAAAUACAACAGUUUCAAAAAAGUAAUAUAUAAUAGAAAAUUAAAAAAUACAGCAGAAAAAUCAUAAAAAUAUCAUUUUUUAUGCAUUUUGAUUUUUUGAAUUUGUUAAAUUUUGUGUAUUACUGAAUUAAUAGUUAUUGGAUCUUAAGGAAAGAAAAAAGAACUAAAACAUGAUGUUUAUGAAGGAAAAAUAGCUAUAUAAUAAAAAGUGGAAGAGAGAGUAGCACAGGGUAUGGGACAGAAGAUCCGUUGCGCUUAAAAUGGUAGAAAAUAGAAACAAAGGCAAACCUUUUUUUUUUCUUCCUAUCCUUCCAUCCCUCCCACCUCCAACUAUCAGGUACAUGAUAAUAAAGGAAAACUUGUCAAUAUAUAAGAAAGUAAAAGAAAAUUCCAACCAAGUCAUGUAUUAUAUAUACCUUCCUUAAGGCUAUAUUUGUCGCUUAUUUAAUGCAAUAGAGGGACAAACACUCUUGAGGAUAAAAUGGAGAAAUGUUUAAGAGAACACACACUUGUUUCUAAAGCAUUAGAACAAACAACCAAUUCACUUUUACAAAAUAAACAAACCUAAGUCUUUUGUAGCAAAUCAAUGCCCAUUUGGUCUUGACAUACAGUUUGGGAGAUUAUUGUUAUAGCGUUGCAACACAUUUAGGUAGUUAUCAACCUGAAUUCCUGAGCCUCUUCAUGAAAAUCGAUUAGUUUUGUUCCUUGUAUAGUGAUGUUCGAUUUCGUUCAAAUUCAGAAUUUGGCAAAAGUUACAACUUUUCAAUGAUGCGGAUGUGGGCUGCCUCGUCCGCAUGAACAAGAAUUACAAUAAGCAUGCGAACGUGUGUCAUAAAGGCUUCCGCGUAAAGCUUGCAUAAGUCCACAUCAAAAGUCAAUUACAAUACUAACAGAUGUCUGGAUUUUAAAUGUAUCUCUACCCUAUACUUUUUGUCUGUUACACUGAUGAGAGUUUGGAGUUCGAAGCCAAAUGCAAAUUAUCUGUUGAGAACAUAAAUACAAAUGCAAGUUGUCUAAACCUCUUCUCCAUACGAGGAUAAGUAGCAUACUUAGGCUGAAUUAAUUGAAUGUUAAUGCGAAUUGCGAAAACGGUAGUUAGAAAGAGACGCAUGCUAGCUAUGAAAGAGAAAUCCGUGAUUAGUUCCACAAUUAUCAUCCACUUCUUAUUAGUACAGGAGAACUUAUCUUGGCCGAACUUCACUGUAGAAGCCGAGAAUAUCCAACAUGUAAAGAACAAAUGAAGAACAUAGAUCUGUAAUAGAGAGUACAGAUAAUGCAUUAGUCAGUUCUGCAUGAGGGAAAUUUCUUUGCUAUCGACGUCUUUUUUUCCGGACUU
rnacentral:lncRNA from 1 species